GAAAUAUUGUCAUUUAGAGCAUUUAUUUGCAGAAAAUGAGAAACGGCUGAAAUAAAAAAAAAGAUGCAGAGCUUUCAGACCUCAAAUAAUGCAAAGAAAACAAGUUCAUAUUCAUAAAGUUUUAAGAGAUCAAAAAUCAAUAUUUGUCGGAAUAAACCUGGUUUUUAAUCAAAGUUUUCAUGCAUCGUGGCAUCAUGUUCUCCUCCACCAGUCUUACACACUGCUUUUGGAUAACUUUAUGCCUUUACUCCUGAAUUCAAGCAGUUCAGUUUGGUUUGAUGGCUUGUGAUCAUCCACCUUCCUCUUGAUUAUAUUCCAGAGGUUUUCAAUUUGGUAAAAUUAAAGGAAGUAUGAAUGGGUUCCAGAGCUCUAGGUCUGCUUUGACUCUAGCUAGAACCAUUCAGUGGUGGCCAAUCAGGUCCAAGUCCAUCCUCCAUCUCCAGCCGUGCGUGAGAGACCUUAAUCCCGUUAGCUUAGCCUCCUCCUGGCUAAUCCCAGCACUUCUCCACCUGCACGUCCUCCAGCCCUGUCACCUACCUGAGGGAUGAGUGCGUGCUGCUGAUCGCUGAAGCAGCAGGAUGUUUAGCUGGGUGGUGAAAGUUGUUCCGCAGCCCCCUGAGAAGACUGGACUCGGAGAAGAGGAGAAAAACAAUGCUCAGGAAGUGAAAGCUCCUGUCAAUGAGGAAGCUGCAAAGCAAGAAAGUCCUGUGAAUGAAGUCUCUGAAGAAAACAGUAGUGGGGUGCUGACCUGGCUGUCUCAUGGCUUCACCAGCGCCCUCCCCCAGCCUGUAGGAGCUCAGAAGGCUAACUCUGAGGUCAAGGUACGAGACACGCUGUGAAUCUUCCUUCCUGUACUGUGAUAUCAAUAACACUGGCAAUUUAAACUG
rnacentral:lncRNA from 1 species